rnacentral:misc_RNA from 1 species
UCUCCGUAGGUGAACCUGCGGAGGGAUCAUUACUGAGUGAGGGCCUCUGGCCCGACCUCCAACCCUUUGAUGUCCGACUCUGUUGCCUCGGGGGCGACCCGGCCUUCGGGCCCGGGGCCCCCCGUGGUCCACUCAACUCUGCGUCUUUGCGUCUGAGUAAACAUUAAAUGAAACAAAACUUUCAACAACGGAUCUCUUGGUUCUG